UACGUAGGGGGCAAGCGUUGUCCGGAUUUAUUGGGCGUAAAGAGCGUGUAGGCGGCCAGACAGGUCAGCUGUGAAAACUCGAGGCUCAACCUCGAGACGUCGGUUGAAACCGUCUGGCUAGAGUCCGGAAGAGGAGAGUGGAAUUCCCGGUGUAGCGGUGAACUGCGCAGAUAUCGGGAAGAACACCCGUGGCGAAGGCGGCUCUCUGGGACGGUACUGACGCUGAGACGCGAAAGCGUGGGGAGCGAACAGG
rnacentral:rRNA from 1 species